rnacentral:rRNA from 1 species
UCAGAGGUGAACGCUGGCGGCAGGCCUAAUACAUGCAAGUCGAACGGCAGCACAGCAGAGCUUGCUCUGUGGGUGGCGAGUGGCGGACGGGUGAGGAAUACGUGGGAAUCUGCCCAGUCGUGGGGGAUAACGUAGGGAAACUUACGCUAAUACCGCAUGCGCCCUUCGGGGGAAAGCCGGGGACCUUCGGGCCUGGCGCGAUUGGAUGAGCCCACGUCGGAUUAGCUAGUUGGCGGGUAAAGGCCCACCAAGGCGACGAUCCGUAGCUGGUCUGAGAGGAUGAUCAGCCACACUGGAACUGAGACACGGUCCAGACUCCUACGGGAGGCAGCAGUAGGGAAUAUUGGACAAUGGGCGCAAGCCUGAUCCAGCCAUGCCGCGUGAGUGAAGAAGGCCCUCGGGUUGUAAAGCUCUUUUGUCCGGAAAGAAAAGCGCCGGGUUAAUACCCUGGUGUCCUGACGGUACCGGAAGAAUAAGCACCGGCUAACUUCGUG